rnacentral:rRNA from 1 species
UUUACUGCCCAUGGAUGGGACUGCGGCUAUCAGCUUGUUGGUGAGGUAAUGGCCCACCAAGGCGAUUACAGGUACGGGCUCUGAGAGGAGAAGCCCGGAGAUGGGUACUGAGACACGGGCCCAGGCCCUAUGGGGCGCAGCAGGCGAGAAACCUUUAGCAAUGUGCGAAAGCACGACUGGGUCAGUCCGAGUGAUUCCUGAUAAAGGAGUCUUUUGCCUGUCCUAAAAGCACAGGUGAAUAAGGGGUGGGCAAGUCUGGUGUCAGCCGCCGCGGUAAUACCAGCACCUCGAGUGGUCAGGACGUUUAUUGGGCCUAAAGCAUCCGUAGCCAGCUCUGCAAGUCUUCGGUUAAAUCCACCUGCUCAACAGAUGGGCCGCUGGAGAUACUACAGAGCUAGGGAGUGGGAGAGGCAGACGGUAUUCAGUGGGUAGGGGUAAAAUCCUCUGAUCCAUUGAGGACCACCAGUGGCGAAGGCGGUCUGCCAGAACACGUUCGACGGUGAGGGAUGAAAGCUGGGGGAGCAAACCGGAUUAGAUACCCGGGUAGUCCCAGCUGUAAACGAUGCAAACUCGGUGAUGCAUUGGCUUAUGGCCAAUGCA